ensembl:rRNA 5S_rRNA 5S ribosomal RNA
CUCUAUGCCUACACCACCCUGAACAUACUGAUCUCAUCUGAUCUUGGGAGCUAUGCAGGGUUGGGCCAGGUUGGUACUUAUUUGAAGGGGAGAGUUAGAGCUGGCUGAGACA